CAGUAGCCGCGGUAAUACGAAGGGGGCUAGCGUUGUUCGGAAUUACUGGGCGUAAAGGGCGCGUAGGCGGCCAUUCAAGUUAGAUGUGAAAGCCCUGGGCUAACCUAGGAAUUGCAUUUGAUACUGUUUGGCUUGAGUUCGGGAGAGGUGAGUGGAAUUCCCAGUGUAGAGGUGAAAUUCGUAGAUAUUGGGAAGAACACCAGUGGCGAAGGCGGCUCACUGGACCGACACUGACGCUGAGGCGCGAAAGCGUGGGGAGCAAACAGGAUUAGAUACCCGUGUAGUCCCUGUCUCUUAUACA
rnacentral:rRNA from 1 species